rnacentral:rRNA from 1 species
AUUGAACGCUGGCGGCAUGCCUUACACAUGCAAGUCGAACGGCAGCACGGGAGCAAUCCUGGUGGCGAGUGGCGAACGGGUGAGUAAUACAUCGGAACGUGCCCAAUCGUGGGGGAUAACGCAGCGAAAGGUGUGCUAAUACCGCAUACGAUCUACGGGUGAAAGCAGGGGACCGCAAGGCCUUGCGCGAAGGUAGCGGCCGAUGGCAGAUUAGGUAGUUGGUGGGGUAAAGGCUCACCAAGCCAACGAUCUGUAGCUGGUCUGAGAGGACGACCAGCCACACUGGGACUGAGACACGGCCCAGACUCCUACGGGAGGCAGCAGUGGGGAAUUUUGGACAAUGGGCGCAAGCCUGACCCAGCCAGGCCGCGUGCAGGAUGAAGGCCUUCGGGUUGUAAACUGCUUUUGUACGGAACGAAACGGCUCUUUCUAAUAAAGAGGGCUAAUGACGGUACCGUAAGAAUAAGCACCGGCUAACUACGUGCCAGCAGCCGCUGUAACAC